CCUACGGGAGGCAGCAGUGAGGAAUAUUGGUCAAUGGGCGCGAGCCUGAACCAGCCAAGUAGCGUGAAGGAUGACUGCCCUACGGGUUGUAAACUUCUGUUAUAAAGGAAUAAAGUGAGGCACGUGUGCCUUUUUGUAUGUACUUUCUGAAUAAGGAUCGGCUCACUCCGUGCCAGAAGCCGCGGUAAUACGGAGGAUCCAGGCGUUAGCCGGAUUUAUUGGGUUUAAAGGGAGCGUAGAUGGGUUGUUAGUGCAGUUGUGAAAGUUUGCGGCUCAACAGUAAAAUUGCAAUUGAUACUGGCAGCCUUGAGUACAGUUGAGGUAGGCGGAAUUCGUGGUGUAGCGGUGAAAUGCUUAGAUAUCACGAAGAACUCCGAUUGCGAAGGCAGCCUACUAAACUGCCACUGACAUUGAUGCUCGAAAGUGUGGGUAUCAAACAGGAUUAGAUACCCUGGUAGUC
rnacentral:rRNA from 1 species